GUAGCUUAUGAAUAAUCAUUCAACUGUCAAGAUCAACGCCGAUCUAGCGUUGCAACAUUACAGCUCGAUACAAUAUAUAAUAUUACGACUGCAGGAUCAAGUUGAUCUAUUGCUACAAUCUUAUAGUCCCAUAUAAUAUAAUUUAACAUCAUGACUGCAGCAUUCUUUGAUAUGUACGUCUAUAUACACAUACACUUAUAGUUCUCAA